GAAACGGGGACUUGGGAGCGCGCGCUGCCCCUCACUUGGCUGCAACUGGACCCAGAACUAGGGAAGAGGCCAGGGACAGAUUUUUUUUUUUUAUUUUUAUUUUUUUUGCCGAGGGACGUUUCAAAAUUUUGCACGGCCAGGGUGACAAAAAGAGGAUUUAAGAGCCACAAGCGGUCCGCACAUGACCCAGACUUCGUUCCUGUGCGGCUUCCAGAGGUGUUCAUGCAGAAGACUGGAUGCAGGACCCUUGGUGGCACCAGUGUGCAGAUGAGCAGAUAGUGACUGAUUGCCACUGGGGCUAUAACAAAAUAUAAUAAACUGGGUACCUUAGAAGCAACGGAAAUUGAUUUCUCAUCGUUCUAGAAGCUAGGAAGUUCACGAUCAAGGUAGCAGCAGAGUUGGUGCCUGAUCUUUACCAUGCUGGAUUGGAAGAGAAAAGACCAUCACUAAAGCAAAUGGAUCAAAUGGAGUUAUAAAUCAACUCUGUACUCUACAGGAUUGACUCAACUGCAGACAUCUCCAAUACACUCCCUCAUGGCUUUAUUUUUUCUGCUUAUGUGGAAAAAUAACAGUAAAUACAGUUAACUAUCCCAAGACAGAAGAGUAUUAUUAAAAAAGAAUACAACGUUAUUGAUUUUUCAAGACAUAAUCAGAUAUUUUUAAACUCUGAUUUAAUAAAACAUAAUGUAAUUUCU
ensembl:lncRNA novel transcript